rnacentral:tRNA from 12 species
GGCCAGGUAGCUCAGUCGGUAGAGCAGCGGAUUGAAAAUCCGCGUGUCGGCGGUUCGAUUCCGUCCCUGGCCACCA